GGGCUCACACAAGUGGUGGAACAUGUGGUUUAAUUCGAUGAUACGCGAGGAACCUUACCUAGGCUUAAAUGUAGAUUGACUUAUUGGGAAACCAGUAUUUCUUCGGACAAUCUACAAGGUGCUGCAUGGUUGUCGUCAGCUCGUGCCGUGAGGUGUCGGGUUAAGUCCCAUAACGAGCGCAACCCCUAUCAUUAGUUGCUAACAUUUAGUUGAGGACUCUAAUGAAACUGCCCGCGUAAGCGGUGAGGAAGGUGGGGAUGACGUCAAAUCAUCACGGCCCUUACGUCUAGGGCUACACACGUGCUACAAUGGUAACUACAGAGGGAAGCUAGCUGGUGACAGUAAGCAAAUCCUUAAAAGUUAUCCCAGUUCGGAUUGAAGUCUGCAACUCGACUUCAUGAAGUUGGAAUCGCAAGUAAUCGUAGAUC
rnacentral:rRNA from 1 species